rnacentral:misc_RNA from 1 species
AACGCAACUUGCACUCUUGGGUAACUCCAAGAGUAUACUUAUUUGAGUGUCAGUCUAUCACCUCAUUUCCAGUUUGGAAGUGGACUUGGAUAAUUCAAGCUUUAUAAAAGCUUGUUAUCUUGAAUGAAGGGAUAAUAGCCUGAAUUUAAAGACGUGAAAGCGCUACCAAUUUUUCUGGUUCAUUUUUCACGGCUGGUUCAAAAAAGAAAGAACCCAAACAAGGCAAACCAAAGGGGCCGUGGCUUCUUACUUGCUUUAUUUUGGGCUAAAUCUAUUUUUAUCAGCUUAAAUGAACACUCUAAGGAAGAAUUAUCUGCCGCGAUAUUAAUCUUUAAAAGGUCAUCCAAUAUAGCUUGUUAUUAUAUAACAACUUUUUUCAUUUUGACCUCAAAUUAAGUAAGACUACCCGCUGAACUUAA